GACGAACCGUGCGAACGUUGUUCGGAAUCACUGGGCUUAAAGGGCGCGUAGGCGGGCUGCCGAGUCCGGGGUGAAAUCCUGCGGCUUAACCGCGGAACUGCCCCGGAUACUGGCGGCCUCGAGGGGGUAGGGGCGUGCGGAACUCUGGGUGGAGCGGUGAAAUGCGUUGAUAUCCAGAGGAACUCCGGUGGCGAAGGCGGCACGCUGGACCCCUUCUGACGCUGAGGCGCGAAAGCCAGGGAGCGAACGGG
rnacentral:rRNA from 1 species